rnacentral:rRNA from 1 species
UACGAAGGGGGCUAGCGUUGUUCGGAAUCACUGAGCGUAAAGCGCACGCAGGCGGAUCGAUAAGUCGGGGGUGAAAGCCCGGGGCUCAACCUCGGAAUUGCCUUCGAUACUGUCGGUCUCGAGUCCGGGAGAGGUGAGUGGAAUUCCUAGUGUAGAGGUGAAAUUCGUAGAUAUUAGGAAGAACACCAGAGGCGAAGGCGGCUCACUGGCCCGGUACUGAAGCUCAGGUGCGAAAGUGUGGGGAGCAAACAGG